ensembl:lncRNA
GAGAAAACUCUGUACUGUCCGGCACACCCAAACCCACCCCUCCUAAUCUAUCCGCUGCACUGCGGAAAGACGAACUCCGUGAUGUCAAAUAUAGGCUGCCUGACGGCUCUGUUCUCACACGCCGUUUCCACGUCCCAAAUCUGUCUGAAGCCGUCCAAAACCAGCAGCUUCGCUAUGCCUCAUACAGGGUGCCAACAGGCCUGCAGGGAGAGGAUAAUCGCUACGCUGUGGUUCCUCCGUAUGGGCCGAGCUCAGGACACUGGGCCAGAAAUGCCCAUGGUGGAGGGCCAGGGGGGGAAGAGGUCUGGGCAGCUGAGAGGGUUCUACCACACGGGACGGUCCAGAAUCUGUCAAAGUGGUCCAUGUACAGAGAAGACGGGUUGUUGGAGGGAUAUUCACCCUCACCUCGACCGGUGGACGGACAGAUCCAGGACACUAACUGGACUCCCAACAGAGAUAGGGUACCUGGUCAAAGCUGGUAUGACAAGAUCUACUCUAUCCUAAGCAUGCCCACAACAGGCCAUCGGGCGAAAAGCUGGGCGGAAGGAAUGGAGGACAUGACACAGCUGCCUGAGCUGAAUGAAACCACAGUUCUGAUGAACCUGAAGAAGCGCUUCGACCAGGAACUCACAUAUACUUACAUAGGCAGCAUCCUCGUGUCCGUCAAUCCCUACAAGUUGCUCAACAUUUAUGGCACAGACAUGGUUCUUCAGUAUGAAGGUCGCGGCCUGAGUGACAACCCUCCUCAUCUUUUUGCCAUUGCUAGCCUAACAU